CCAACGUUUCACCAGGAACCCAUAGAAGGGUUUCCGCUGAUUUCUUGGAGACUGCUCACUUCUUGAGGUCUUGCUCCCUCUGCAAGCGCCGAUUGGUCCCUGGCCGUGACAUCUACAUGUAUAGAGGGGAUAGUGCUUUCUGCAGUCUAGAGUGCAGGCAACAGCAAAUGAACCAAGACGAGAGGAAAGAGAAGUGCUCAUUAGCGUCUAAGAAAGAAGUUGCAACCUCCAACACCGCAUCAGAAGUCUCCACCAAAGGCGAGACUGUUGCCGCUUUGUAGAGGCACCUGCAGCCCAGAAUGGAAAAAGAUUCCGCCCGCUUAAUUCUAUCAAUA
rnacentral:misc_RNA from 1 species